UACAAUUUGCCUUUUAUUAUCAAGUUCGGGGCCACGUACAUAUGAGGUUUAAAUAUGGCUUAGCUGGUCAUACAAAUUGAAACUUUUUUUUUUAUUUGUUUCCCACAUAUAUCUUCACACUGAAGCAAUCUUGUCUGAGCCGGAAACAUCCACAGGUAUGUGAGGCUAACUCUCAUAGUGGUAUUUUUUCCAUCCACAAUACUCGAGUUCUGGAGGGGAAUGAAAGAGUUGUUUUAGAAAACUAAUCUCUUGUUUGGGAAUUGAAUGAAAGAGAAAGUAAUAUUUUGAAUAGGGUUUUUAAAGCUCUCUAAAAUCUUACAUGUACCUAUUUGUUUAAUUCCCCCAAUUUAGAGUUUUACUAGUGACAAAAUGUCAAAAUAACAAAAUACAAUUAGUAAAAUUAUACAAUUAGAUUAUUAUUCAUUUAUCAUUGUUAAUUAUAUUUAAAAUAAAAAUAAAAAAAAAUUAUACAUUAUUAUUACUUUACAUUUUUCUCACAUAAAUUUCACACUCGUAAAUAAAUAAGGGAAUCUCCUUUUCUUUCUCUCUUAUCUUUACCCAUUGAUCUCACUUCUUCAUUUUCUCUCCCAACUCUCAAACAUGAGGUAAGUAAACGUGAACCAUUUUGCAUUUAUUUGGUUUUCAAACGUACAAGAUAAAAAAUUAAAUAGGUGAAUAGAUGACAUAUUCAAUUACAAUAUAUGAUUAAGGUAGAUUAUAUCAUGGGGUUUAUCUAAAUAACAUGAUGCUUAAUAGUUUUAAAUUGUAAUCUAUCUUCUCCUUAUUAAGACAAUUCCAAUUAAAUUUGGGGAUGGUUCCAGGACCUAACGAAAAUUGUUGGGUUUAUUCAAGUGUGAAGUCCUACAUUGGAUAUGCGGGGAGGAAUGAAAGAGCUUAUAAGAAGGAAAGACUCAUGGAACUAAUGCCUUAAGGUUUUGGUUCAAGACGUGGUGUCUCACUUGUGACUCUUCACUCUUCUCAUACUCAUGUAACAAUGGAAAUCCCUGGUGGUUGGAGGCUCCCCGGUCGCAGACUAAGCCAAAUGGAUGAACAUUUUCAAGGCAAAAUCUGAAGGUAAUUUUAGGGUUAAAGACAUUAGAUUCUUCAACCUAAUUUCUUACGGAAAUGGAACUAGAGACGGCUAAACAUCUCUUCCACUAAGGGAUAGGGAAAACACUAACUUUUGUCAUGUAAGUGGCUUGACUAGGGAAAGAUCAAUGCUAAAUACACUAGGCUCUAUAAUCUUAUCUCGAACAUGGAAGUUAAUAUAAGAGACUUAUGAGUCGGUAGAGUGGGGAAUGGAGGUGGUCCUUAUAUUGGAGAAGAUUUCCUUUUGUUUCGGAAUUUGAACUAAUCGAUAAUGUAAAAAUUGCAGCAUGUUACUUUAAGGAGGGAUAAUGAAGAUUCUUGGGAGUGGCUCCAAGACAAGUCCAAACAUUAUGUCAAAUCCGCAUACAAAUGUCUUCUCAACCAUAUAAACAAAUUGGAGCGUGAUCAUAACUUCUUCAAAGUCUUAUGGGAGUCGAAAGCCCCCUCAAAGAUCACCACUAUCACAUGAGGACUUUUCCAAGACAAAAUUUGAUAAGUGCCAAAAUCUCAUACCUAAAAUAUCAUCUUUAUGGCACCUUCACUCAUAAAUUAGUCCAAUUAUCAGCAAGUUGCUCUUAAACUUAAACAUAAUAUAUGAAUUGUCAGAUUUUACCCUUUAGAGUAUUUAUGAAGGCCAAAACCAGAGGAAUUGUGCAAAAAGUCAAAUUUUCAAACAAGAUUUGUAUCAAUAUGUCAUAUUUUGAAUGUUAUAAGUAUCGUUACUAAAUAUAGAGUCAUAUCAACACUUAAUAACUCUCAAAUUUGUUAACAUAGUUACUACACAUAGAUAUGUGUUAACAGUUCAUAAACUUUCAUCUUGUUAGUAUAGUUGCUAGAUAUAGAGAUAUAUUAAUGAGUUACUAAUAUGACUAAGACAUUAGCAAUUAAUAUCAUUGAGGUGUUGCCUUAAAAUCUCAAUUUUGUAAGCAUAGUUACUAGACAUAGAGGUGUGUUUUAUGGAUCAUAUUUCACCAUCUUGUGAGUAGAGUUGUUAGACAUAGAGUAAUAUACAUAAGAUAUUAACUCGACUAGGAAAUUAGUGGUUAAUACCAUUGAGGUCUCUUUAUUUAUGAAAGAGUCAUAGUUAGAUGAAAAAGUGUUGUUGAAUCAUAUAUGGAUAGUGAAUAGUAAUGUCCAAUGUCAAUAUCUCUAUUCCAAAAGUUUAUCAAUCACUUAGUUAGUUUAUUAGCGUAACCAAACCAAUCAAACUCUCAUAAAAAAUCAACUUAAAAUAACAAUUUUUAUUUAAAAGGCUAAUCUCAAACAAGUCCUUCUAGAUUCGGCAAUCUUUGAUAUGUGUUUGAGACAACCCAAUUUGAUAAUUGAAUUGACCAAUUUGUCAGUAAGCAGAAUUCUAAUCAUGGGCGCAUUACUAAGAUAGGGAAUGAUUUAACUUCCUGGAGGCACCACUUGCAAGUUUUUCAAUGAAGAAUUGAAAAUUUCACAAUAUAUUCUCUUCUUGCAAGUUCACUUACCUUAUUUGGAAGACGAUAUACAAUUAGCUUCACUUUGACAUUGCCCCUUCUAAAGAUAUAAGGAAACAUUUCUACAUAAUACGAGUCUUCCAUUUAAAAAAAAAUUGUUGGAAUUUCUGGCACAUUUUUAUACGAGAAUUCACAUUUUCCAUGUAGGAUUUAUUAUUUUUAUCUAUAAGCCUCUAUAUUAAACGUUUUUAUUAUAUUUACUCUUUUUGUUGUUGUAGUUUGACAUUGUUUUAAAUUGCAGUUGCUUAUCUUCAAAUUGUGAAAAAAAAAAAAUAAAUUGUUGCCUAUUGUAAUUGUAAUGUAAUAGCAUUGUGCCAUCGUUCAUCCUUAUCAUAAGACAUAUUCUAGAAGGUUUUCAUGGUUCUUUUUAUAAGAUCCUUUAUAUUUUUUUAUGCAACAUAUAUUAAAACUUUUUUACUAUCGUUAACUCUCUUUUUUUGUAAUUAAGGCUAUCAAUUAAUUAUGAACAAUUUUAAAUGAUGGUAGAAUUUUAAUAUUAUAAUAUUUUAAAAUAAUUAAGAAAAUAAAUUACUUUUAUUCACAUGUGCAAUUUAGUUGGGAGUGUUUUAUAAUAAGGAUCAAUGGGAGUAUAAGAUUACAAUCUUAACAUCACUUAAUAUUAUUUAUUAAUUGAAAGUCUCAAUGACAAUAACCAAAACUUAGAAAUAGUCAAAACUUUUAAUAUGAGCAAAUGGUGAAAAAUAUUAACAAAUGUUACAUAGAAAAUAUAAAAUGUCUUAUAAAAGGAAUUUGAAAACCUUCUAUAAUAUUUCUUAUAAUUAGGACCAAAUGGAAUGAAAUACUACACAAUCACAUUACAGUCAUAAUAUGUUGAAUUUUUCGCAUUUUUUGCAAUUUUAAAACAAGCAACUGAAAUUUAAAACUCUGUCAAGCGUAAUGAUGAAUAAUAUGCUCUAUUUGUUUUUAUUUGAAGUUAUAAAAUCAUUACAAGUGAGUUGACUCAUAAUUUACAAGGUCGUGAGUUCAAAUUUCAUUGCAUACAUCAAGGUUUAUUAGUAGAUAAUUUGUAGGUACCUUUAUUAGUGUUCAUAGAAUCAUGGGGUUGUGAAAAUGAGGGUAAUGAGCUUAGGACCCAACUCAUAUAAUCCUCUUUGUUAAAAAAAUUCAGAGUCAAAAAUUAAAUUGACAUUUAUUAUUAUUGAGGUAGUGAAUAAUUUGUUUUAGUAAAAUAGAAGAUAGUAAAAAUAAUUAAUAUUGUGUUAUUGUUUUUUAUGGAUACUCUUAUUAAUUAUUAUUUUAUGAAAGUUCAGGGGAUAUGGUUGAAAGUUUUAUUCGGGUAAAAAUUAGUUUUAGGAUAUGGGGAGUCCUUAAAUAGAUAUUUAUAGAUUAUUUAUCAAUGAUAUUAUAUGGAGUAGAGGGAUUUAAACUCAAACUCUUAUGAACUAAGACUUACUAAUUGUAUGAACCUAUGUUUAUCUCAUAUCAUUAUUUGAUAUUUUUUCACACUAUAAGUAGUAAUUUCAAUGCUAAGAAGAUGAUGUAAUAGAAUAAUAUUUAUAAUACACGUUUCAUUUAUUUUUACAUACCAAUAAAAGAGAUUAGUUUUCUUGGUUUUUUUUAUAAAUAUUAUAAGAUUAUAAUCUUACAUCAAUUUAAUAUUGUUCCUUAAUUAAUAAUCUUAGUAAAAACAACAUAAAAUAAAAAUAAAAUAAAUUAUUUUAAUGGGGACAAACUACAGAAAAGAUAAUAAAUGAUGUACGUAAAGUAUAAAGUUCUUUUAGAUAGUGUCUUAUAAUAAACAAAAUUGUGUGUAGUAACGGAGUGCAAGUUCUUUGCAAGUUCCAACAUUAAUUCUACUGUUCCCAAGCAAGGAAAAUCUAUCAUUUAACUUUUACAUGAUGAAAUAUCCAUACCUUAAAACAAACAAGUGAUCAUAAGGUGUACAAUUUAAAAUUAAGUGAUAAUCAAUGUAAAAAAUUAUACACAAUUAAUAUAUCAUUUAUAUUUAUUUGUAUUAUUCUAGUUAAAAAUUAAAAAUAAAUAAUGAUUAAUAAAAUUAAAAAUAAAAAUUUCUUACCCUAUUGGUCAUACAUUUUUUCUCUUUAAAAUUUUAAUAUAUUGGACAUUAGUUUUACCUUUAAUAAAAUACACAUUCUAGGGCUAGGGCUGCGUAUGCAUAACAAAGUAAGGUGUACCUUCUCUCCCUCUUUCUUUCUCUCCCUCUACCUGAUUUCUUUCUAUUCCUGUUUCUGAUACUUUCAUUCACCAAAUCUCUUAGAUAUUUUUCAACAUAUAUAAUUACAUUUUUACAGGGUUUUGAAGAAUUUGGUAACAUGAGGAGGCGCCAAGUAGUAGUUAGAAGAUCAGAAGAACAAGCUGCAAGAAAUGUUAGGAUUGUGAAAUAUGGAGAGUGCCAAAAGAAUCAUGCUGCUAAUGUUGGAGGAUAUGCUGUAGAUGGUUGUAGAGAGUUCAUGGCAAGUGGUGGUGAAGGUACAAUUUCUGCUCUAACUUGUGCUGCUUGUGGCUGCCACAGAAACUUCCACAAAAAAGAGGUUGAGACUGAAGCACUAAGUGAAUUCUCUUCACAAACCUCCUCAGGGAUUUGAUGAUGAGCAUUUCAUGAUAUAUACCUCAACAAUUAUGUAAUAUAUAUAUUCUGUGAACUUACUUGAUUUUGCUAGUUAAGUGAGAUUUUAAGAUAUAGUGUUGGGCUUGCUUAAUUAAUUAUGUAGAACUAUAUGUUCUAUAGUAAGUUGGUGUGUAUAAUGGGUGAAUUCUCUUAAUUUCUUGAUUAAACUUAUCUUAUGACCUAGAGGUAUAUGCGCUUCCGUGCAUCUACUCACUCAGAUCUUAUUAGGUGAGAGACUCCUACAUUGGUACAACUUUUUUUUAUUUCUUUCAUUACUUUAUCAUUUUUUUGCUUCGCAUAUUAGCAGUGUUUUAAAUUAUUAUUGCGUCCAUGGUUGUGGUUAUUGUGGCUGUGUAGUCGUUGCGGUGUAAAUAUUUGUGAUCGAAAAAAUAAUUUUGAAUUUGAUGAGUUCCGAUGUGGCAUGAUGUGAUUAUGUUAUGAUCACUUCAUUGUCACAUAACAUUUACCGUUAUAACGGUUACCACAAUUACAAUAUUAUAGCUGCAUGCAUCGGUUGAUGUAGUCUGCAAUUUUAUACUAGGUUGUGUAACUUUAAAAUAUGAUGAUGGGUACUUAAAUUGGUUAGGUUUGCUGAUUUUGAUUCAAUUCAAUAUCAUAUCCUUUGGGACAUAAAACAAAUGUACCAAACCUCACUUUGCUUUGCCUUGUGUCUCUAUUUUUUCCCUUUAUUUCUAUUUUAGUAUUGCCGUGUCUGUAUUAAACUUUUCUCACAUAUGAUCAAGAUACAGUGCUCCUGAAUUUAAUAUCACUUAUUACUAUACCAUGGUAGCUAGUUUCUUGAGUGUGCAAUGUGUAGUCUAUAACAACUGUGUCAAAAAAUCACAAUUAUAGCCGUUUCUAAAUAUAAGAGAUUUGUAUUUAUUAGAUAAGCAGUAAUAAAAACUCUAUAAUCCUAUCCACACUGAAAAGAGGGGGAGAAAAAUAGAUAAGAAUGCAUGAGCUAUGAGUAUCAUCUCUUUUACUAAUUGGUCAAUGAAAUGGAUUAUUAGAAUUAAUCAAACUAAGUAACUAAAACAUAUAUGUUAUAUACCAAUAAGGUAUAGGUCUAGUGGUGUAAGGUCUCACUAGAUCCACAAGAUGACCAAAAAGUCAAUGGUACGAUUCCUAGGAGCAACACUUGUUGGGAGGGGCAGUCAUGUACCCCAAAAGAGAUUAGUUCCUUAUCUAAAAGGAUGAGGGGAUACUCUUGAUAUUACAAAAAAACAAAUGUUAAAUAAGCUACAUAUCCUAGGUAUAUGUUAAUGUUCCUAACUUCCUAUAAUAUGUAUGAUUAAAACCCUAAAUGAAGUUAAAGCACUAAUACAAGUAAAAAGAAGAAAGUAUGAGAUAAAUCAAAAGGGUACCUACUACAUACCUUUGCAUAUUAUGAUAGAGAUACGUUUUCAUAUAGCAGUAGGAGAAAUGAAAGUCACAAACACAAGUCUUUUUAGCAGUUCAACAAGUUGCUUAUAACAAAAAUUAACAUGCAGAGUGUGCAAAGGGGAAGUUAUUUGGAACACAUUUCUGUACUCUAUAGCUAAGUUUUCAUAAAAAAGAAG
rnacentral:lncRNA from 1 species